GGCGUAAGCGUCGCGCAGGCGGCGAUGAAGACAGGUGUGAAAUCCCGGGAAUGUUAGGAAUUGCAUUUGAGACUGCAUCGCUGGAGUGUGGCAGGAGGGGGAUGGAAUUCCGCGUGUAGCAGUGAAAUGCGUAGAUAUGCGGAGGAACACCGAUGGCGAAGGCAAUCCCCUGGGCCUGCACUGACGCUCAUGCACGAAAGCGUGGGGAGCAAACAGGAUUAGAUACCCUGGUAGUCCACGCCCUAAACGAUGUCAACUGGUUGUUGGGUCUUUUCUGACUCAGUAACGAAGCUAACGCGUGAAGUUGACCGCCUGGGGAGUACGGCCGCAAGGUUGAAACUCAAAGAAAUUGACGG
rnacentral:rRNA from 1 species